rnacentral:rRNA from 1 species
AGUGAACGCUGGCGGUAGGCCUGACACAUGCAAGUCGAACGGCAGCACAGUAAGAGCUUGCUCUUACGGGUGGCGAGUGGCGGACGGGUGAGGAAUACAUCGGAAUCUACUUUUUCGUGGGGGAUAACGUAGGGAAACUUACGCUAAUACCGCAUACGACCUACGGGUGAAAGCAGGGGAUCUUCGGACCUUGCGCGAUUGAAUGAGCCGAUGUCGGAUUAGCUAGUUGGCGGGGUAAAGGCCCACCAAGGCGACGAUCCGUAGCUGGUCUGAGAGGAUGAUCAGCCACAUUGGAACUGAGACACGGUCCAGACUCCUACGGGAGGCAGCAGUAGGGAAUAUUGGACAAUGGGCGCAAGCCUGAUCCAGCCAUACCGCGUGGGUGAAGAAGGCCUUCGGGUUGUAAAGCCCUUUUGUUGGGAAAGAAAAGCAGCAGGUUAAUACCCCGCUGUUCUGACGGUACCCAAAGAAUAAGCACCGGCUAACUUCGUG